CCUAGGAAAGAUCGAUAAAAUAGAGAUGCUAGAAACGUUGGGUUGAACAGGCAUUUUUGCACUAUUGCAAAAAUGCUCGUUCCAGCCGACAGAUUAAUCGAGCGAAAAAAUCGUUCAACAAUGCUGGUAAUGCAAGUGAUGUAGGAGGAAUAUAUUAAAAACCGAUCCGCCCUUACGCCGAAUGAGAGUUAACCUAAAACCAACAGGUUUUGGACUCCAAAAUCACACAGGUCUCGUAAACUGAACAGAACAUUCAUUUCAAGGGCAAAACACUGCGCUGAAAAAGGGCCGCCAUGUUGUCACAAAAAACCUCAAAGCGGAAAUCGUCAUUUGGACCACGUGCUUGCUCACCGCGUCUCAUGAUGUCAUCGUAAGCCUUUGUCGGUGCCAACGCAAUCGAUGCCAACGAACAAUGCAAGAAAUACUAGUUUGAUUAACGAAUUGCACUCGCGUGGUGGAUUCUUUGUCUUUCGUGUUCUAUUCUAAAUAUACCUCUCUUUGCGAUUGGCUAAACACACUCGGAAUAAAAAGAAUCUGUAACGUUAGCAGGAUGUCAUCUUUUACUAUGCAUAUUCAAUCGUUUGCGGAGUUUUUCUCUGGCUUUACUGUUUGAAAUUAGUCCUUCUGCGUGAGCUAUGGCAGAUCAAUUCACCAAAUCAUUUACUGGGACGAAGGUAUCUAAGACAAGUCAUAAACAUUUACUGGAAAGACAUCGAAGAGCAAGAAUAAACAACAGUCUGAAUGAGUUAAAACAUCUUAUUCUUUCUUCUCUCCAUCAUGAUCAUCCUCAGACGUACGAAGAAAAGGCUUCCGAACGAAUGGACAAAGCUGAUGUCUUGGAUUUGACCGUUGAAUUCCUUCAGGACAAUAAACAAGCAGCUGUCAACAAUGGAAUCCGAGCGGAAAGGUUAUCGAGGGAAUAUAAAAAUGAUUCAGCACUAUAUCAUCGUAUGCCAGCACCCCCAUUGUUUGUACCUUACUGUUAUCCCCGAAUGGACGGCGAAUACCUCGUCUUCCCUAGCGCGACCCAUCCAUUGUACAAUGGAUGGAGUAUCCCACCAUAUUUGGAAUCACCACUCGCGUCGUCAGACCCGCCAUCGCCGAUCCAGCUUUCAGCCAAUCAAAUCGAUGGAAAACAACAGCCAAUGAAUGAAUCGGAGAGUAGCGAAUCUAAGUCGACUAAGAAAGAUGUUUGGCGGCCUUGGUGAAUCUAGAGAAUUACUUGCAUGGAUCUUAUUGGUCAAUUUUAUUGGAUCGUACUGAUUGAAGCCAUUGAACAAAGGCUGCAAGUUUAAACUCACGAAUUCUCAAGAGUUUUUACAUUGUUCUCAGCAAAUAUAUAGCAUGGAAUUCCUCUGACGGCAUUACAAGCGUAUCGUACGUUCCUCAACUCAGUAACACUUUAUGAGGUUGAUCUGUUCGUUAAUUAAGCUUGCGCGCACGUCCUUACGAUAAAAUCAACUCUAAUCAGCAUGAAAAACCCAUCUAUUCUAAUGUCUUCUAUUGGCAACACGUUCGACACGCUUUGAUUGGUCAGCGGUAUAGAAUCACGAGAUAUAAUGACCACUCGUUUUCUAAUCUCAUGGGUGCAAUUCAAGUUUGGGAGUUCUCGAUGAAACUGAUUUCCCAUGUUCGAUCGCCUAACAAUAUCCUAAGAAAAUGACCAGAGCUGAAGUCUUCCUAGAAGAACCUGUUCGAACGAGAAGUUGUCAAAUAAAUUAAAACUAAAAUGAAAAAGAGAUUUUUUAAUAAUUGUCCCAUGCAGUCAUUAGUCAAGUCGAGUUUACUGAAGCUUUCAUUAAGCAAUUGCUUGUUAUUAAACAAAAAUAAGGUGGGGAUACUAAGAUUUCAUCGUUUGGUUGUUGCGACACGUACCGUACUCAACUCUCACUGAACCGAAUUUGUAUCGGGAAAUCGCACGAUCUCGAGUACAAUUCGGAAUUUAUAGGUACGAGUCAUCAAAUCAUCACGAGUAUCUAUAAAUUCCGCCGAAUUGUACGAGAAGA